rnacentral:rRNA from 1 species
CAAUUAUACAGCGAAACUGCGAAUGGCUCAUUAUAUAAGUUAUCGUUUAUUUGAUAGUACCUUACUACUUGGAUAACCGUGGUAAUUCUAGAGCUAAUACAUGCUAAAAAUCCCGACUCUGGAAGGGAUGUAUUUAUUAGAUUAAAAACCAAUGCCCUCUGGGCUCCUUGGUGAUUCAUGAUAACUUUUCGAAUCGCAUGGCCUUGCGCCGGCGAUGGUUCAUUCAAAUUUCUUCCCUAUCAACUUUCGAUGUUUGGGUAUUGGCCAAACAUGGUCGCAACGGGUAACGGAGGGUUAGGGCUCGACCCCGGAGAAGGAGCCUGAGAAACGGCUACUACAUCCAAGGAAGGCAGCAGGCGCGCAAAUUACCCAAUCCCGAUUCGGGGAGGUAGUGACAAUAAAUACUGAUACAGGGCUCUUUUGGGUCUUGUAAUUGGAAUGAGUACAAUUUAAAUCCCUUAACGAGGAACAAUUGGAGGGCAAGUCUGGUGCCAGCAGCCGCGGUAAUUCCAGCUCCAAUAGCGUAUAUUAAAGUUGUUGUGGUUAAAAAGCUCGUAGUUGAACCUUGGGCCUGGCUGGCCGGUCCGCCUCACCGCGUGCACUGGUCCGGCCGGGCCUUUCCCUCUGUGGAACCCCAUGCCCUUCACUGGGUGUGGCGGGGAAACAGGACUUUUACUUUGAAAAAAUUAGAGUGCUCCAGGCAGGCCUAUGCUCGAAUACAUUAGCAUGGAAUAAUGAAAUAGGACGCGUGGUUCUAUUUUGUUGGUUUCUAGGACCGCCGUAAUGAUUAAUAGGGACAGUCGGGGGCAUCAGUAUUCAAUUGUCAGAGGUGAAAUUCUUGGAUUUAUUGAAGACUAACUACUGCGAAAGCAUUUGCCAAGGAUGUUUUCAUUAAUCAGGAACGAAAGUUAGGGGAUCGAAGACGAUCAGAUACCGUCGUAGUCUUAACCAUAAACUAUGCCGACUAGGGAUCGGACGAUGUUAUUUUUUGACGCGUUCGGCACCUUACGAGAAAUCAAAGUGCUUGGG